rnacentral:rRNA from 1 species
GAUGAACGCUGGCGGCGUGCCUAAUACAUGCAAGUCGAGCGAACGGACGAUAAGCUUGCUUCUCUGAUGUUAGCGGCGGACGGGUGUGUAACACGUGUAUAACCUACCUAUCAUACUGGGAUAACUUCGGGAAACCGGAGCUAAUACCGGAUAAUAUUUUGAACCGCAGGGUUCAAAAGUGAAAGACGGUCUUUCUGUCACUUAUAGAUGGAUCCGCGCUGCAUUAGCUAGUUGGUAAGGUAACGGCUUACCAAGGGAACGAUGCAUAGCCGACCUGAGAGGGUGAUAGGCGACACUGGAACUGAGACGCGGUCCAGACUCCUACGGGAGGCAGCAGUAGGGAAUCUUACGCAAUGGGCGAAAGCCUGACGGAGCAACGCCGCGUGAGUGAUGACGGUCUUCGGAUCGUAAAGCUGUGUUAUGAGGGAAGAACAUAUGUGUAAGUAACUGUGCACAUCUUGACGGUACCUAAUCAGAAAGCAACGGCUAACUACGUG